UCAUUUGGUUUUCCAACGUACUGGGAAGAAUAUGCUAAAAAGUAUCUCAGGGAAGAGUCUUCUAAGGGCAUUGGUUUCGGAAACAUCUCUACCGCGGAGAAAGUAACUACCAAACCUGGUUGUGGAAUACAUUGUCAUUGUGGCUUUAAAGAAUCUAAAUUAGUUUGACUUUUGAGUAAGUUCAAGGAUGUUAAUGAAGAUAGCUAGAUUUCCAAGAUCUGCUGAUGAAGUAAGUGUCAGUAUAGAUUCCAAAUUUUCAGAUGUUAACCUUGAAGGCACAGAACAACUUACAGCACCGGAAAAUAGAUCGAAAGACAAGGAAAAGGAGGAUGGCAGAAAUGCUAC